rnacentral:rRNA from 1 species
UACGUAGGUCCCAAGCGUUGUCCGGAUUUAUUGGGCGUAAAGCGAGCGCAGGUGGUUUAUUAAGUCUGGUGUAAAAGGCAGUGGCUCAACCAUUGUAUGCAUUGGAAACUGGUAGACUUGAGUGCAGGAGAGGAGAGUGAAAUUCCAUGUGUAGCGGUGAAAUGCGUAGAUAUAUGGAGGAACACCGGUGGCGAAAGCGGCUCUCUGGCCUGUAACUGACACUGAGGCUCGAAAGCGUGGGGAGCAAACAGG